rnacentral:lncRNA from 1 species
AGCCAGCACCAUUAGACAUGCAGCUCUGUGCUGCCUUGGGGACACAUUCUUGGCUGUCUUCCCAAAACGUUCGUGGUGUGGUACUGUCUGUCGGUAUUAACAAGCAUGGGUGUCCCUAAAUGUUUUUAUCUUUGUGUGUGUGUGUGUGUGUGUGCUUGGGUGCACACAUCUAGUAGUAUAUGCAUUCCUGCAUAUAAGUAUGCAUUUAUUUGACUUGUAUGUUAUCAUAAAAUAUUUUCUCUUAGCUAGGCAUGAUGGUGUGUGUGUAUAAUCUCGGAGUCCAGGAGGCUGGGGCAGGUAUCUUCUCCACUUCCUUCCUUGUCCCCUCAAAGAUCUUGACUAACAUCAAGGCAACACCUUCUUUGUAGAUGGAAGAGGUAAGAUCCAUGUUUAUUCUGCCCCUUCCCAUGGCAUAGCCACAGGCAACAGAUACCUUAGCUCCUGC